rnacentral:rRNA from 1 species
GUCUUUUUGUAAAUAAUUUAAAGUCUUGCCUGCCCACUGAUAUAUUAAAUGGCCGCGGUAUUUUGACCGUGCAAAGGUAGCAUAAUCAUUAGUUUUUUAAUUGGAAGCUGGAAUGAAUGGUAGAAUAAGAGAAAAACUGUCUCUAAUUAAUUUAUUUAGAAUUUUAUUUUUAAGUUAAAAAGCUUAAAUUUUUUUAAAAGACGAGAAGACCCUAUAGAGUUUAAUAAAAUUUAAAUUUAAUUUUUAAAAUGAUUAGUUGAUUAUUUUUAUAUUUUAUUUUAUUGGGGUGAUGAAAAAAUUUAAGAAACUUUUUUUAAUAUAAAACAUUAAUAAGUGAUUAUUUGAUCCAAAAUUUUUGAUUAAAAGAAUAAAUUACCUUAGGGAUAACAGCGUAAUUUUUUCAAAGAGUUCUAAUCGAAGAAAAAGAUUGCGACCUCGAUGUUGGAUUAAAAUUAAUUAUUGGUGUAGAAGCUAAUAAAUUAGGUCUGUUCGACCUUUAAAAUUUUACA